rnacentral:rRNA from 1 species
CUUACACAUGCAAGUCGAGCGGGGGAAGGUAGCUUGCUACCGGACCUAGCGGCGGACGGGUGAGUAAUGCUUAGGAAUCUGCCUAUUAGUGGGGGACAACAUCUCGAAAGGGAUGCUAAUACCGCAUACGUCCUACGGGAGAAAGCAGGGGAUCUUCGGACCUUGCGCUAAUAGAUGAGCCUAAGUCGGAUUAGCUAGUUGGUGGGGUAAAGGCCUACCAAGGCGACGAUCUGUAGCGGGUCUGAGAGGAUGAUCCGCCACACUGGGACUGAGACACGGCCCAGACUCCUACGGGAGGCAGCAGUGGGGAAUAUUGGACAAUGGGGGGAACCCUGAUCCAGCCAUGCCGCGUGUGUGAAGAAGGCCUUAUGGUUGUAAAGCACUUUAAGCGAGGAGGAGGCUACUUUAGUUAAUACCUAGAGAUAGUGGACGUUACUCGCAGAAUAAGCACCGGCUAACUCUGUGCCAGCAGCCGCGGUAAUACAGAGGGUGCGAGCGUUAAUCGGAUUUACUGGGCGUAAAGCGUGCGUAGGCGGCUUAUUAAGUCGGAUGUGAAAUCCCCGAGCUUAACUUGGGAAUUGCAUUCGAUACUGGUGAGCUAGAGUAUGGGAGAGGAUGGUAGAAUUCCAGGUGUAGCGGUGAAAUGCGUAGAGAUCUGGAGGAAUACCGAUGGCGAAGGCAGCCAUCUGGCCUAAUACUGACGCUGAGGUACGAAAGCAUGGGGAGCAAACAGGAUUAGAUACCCUGGUA